rnacentral:tRNA from 1 species
GAGCUCGUGGCUCAAUUGGAUAGAGCAUCGGUUUUCUAAACCGAGGGUUACAGGUUCGAACCCUGUCGAGGUCAC